rnacentral:rRNA from 1 species
GACAGAUGGAUGCAAGCGUUAUCCGGAAUGAUUGGGCGUAAAGCGUCUGUAGGUGGCUUUUUAAGUCUGCCGUCAAAUCCCAGGGCUUAACCCUGGACAGGCGGUGGAAACUACCAAGCUGGAGUACGGUAGGGGCAGAGGGAAUUUCCGGUGGAGCGGUGAAAUGCGUAGAUAUUGGGAAGAACACCUGAGGCGAAGGCGGGUUGCUGGGCUGACACUGACGCUGAGGCGCGAAAGCCAGGGGAGCAAACGGG